AGCUAAAAGUACAAUAUAUUUUUAGUAUAGCCUGCCCAGUGAAACAUUUUUAACGGCCGCAGUACCUUGACUGUGCUAAGGUAGCAUAAUAAAUUGGCUUUUAAUUAAAGUCUGGAAUGAAUGGUAUUUUAAAGUUUAGCUAUCAUAAUAAUUAUUUAAUUUAACUUAUUUAUUUGGUGAAAAUACCAAAAUAUUUAGUAAAAAGACGAGAAGACCCUAAGAAUUAAAAAUGUUUUUUGUUGGGGCGACAAAAAGACAUUAAAACUCUUUUAUUUUAUUUUUAUAUAACGGAUAAUUUUAAUAAAGAAUAAUUACCUUAGGGAUAACAGCAUAAUUAGUUUUUUAACUGUUUAUGACCUCGAUGUUGGACUAGAAAAUUUUUUGGCUAGUUGCUAAAAAAUAUUGUUCUGUUCGAACAAAUAUUUUCU
rnacentral:rRNA from 1 species